rnacentral:rRNA from 1 species
GUCCACGCCCUAAACGAUGUCGACUAGCCGCUGGAGGAAUCAAAUCCUUCAGUGGCGCAGCUAACGCGAUAAGUCGACCGCCUGGGGAGUACGGCCGCAAGGUUAAAACUCAAAGGAAUUGACGGGGGCCCGCACAAGCGGUGGAGCAUGUGGUUUAAUUCGAUGCAACGCGAAGAACCUUACCUGGCCUUGACAUCCCGGGAACUUUCCAGAGAUGGAUUGGUGCCUUCGGGAACCCGGAGACAGGUGCUGCAUGGCUGUCGU